rnacentral:rRNA from 1 species
AGGGCGCACGGUGGAUGCCUUGGCACCAGGAGCCGAUGAAGGACGUAGGAGCCUGCGAUAAGCCUCGAGGAGCUGGCAACCGAGCUGUGAUUCGAGGAUGUCCGAAUGGGGAAACCCGGCUGGAGAUGUGUCCAGUCACCUGCACCUGAAUAUAUAGGGUGUUGGGAGGGAACGUCGGGAAGUGAAACAUCUCAGUACCGGCAGGAAGAGAAAGCAACCGCGAUUCCGUGAGUAGUGGCGAGCGAAAGCGGAUGAGGCUAAACCGGUCGCGUGUGAUAGCCGGCAGGCGUUGCGCGGUCGGGGUCGAGGGACCAUUCAGACCUUACUGCCGUUGGGUCGGGGAGUGAUAAAGAUGUGUCAUAGUCGAACGGUCUUGAAAGGCCGGGCAUAGUGGGUGCUACCCCCGUAGACGAAAUGGCAUGUCCUCCCGAGUGGGAUCCCAAGUAGUACGGGGCCCGAGAAAUCCCGUAUGAAUCUGGGGGGACCACCCCCUAAGCCUAAAUACUCCCUGGUGACCGAUAGCGGACUAGUACCGUGAGGGAAAGGUGAAAAAGUACCCCGGGAGGGGAGUGAAAUAGUACCUGAAACCGUGUGCCUACAAUCCGUCGGAGCCGACUUGUAUCGGUGACGGCGUGCCUUUUGAAGAAUGAGCCUGCGAGUUAGUGGUGUGUGGCGAGGUUAACCCGUGUGGGGAAGCCGUAGCGAAAGCGAGUCCGAUAAGGGCGGUUGAGUCGCAUGCUCUAGACCCGAAGCGGAGUGAUCUACCCAUGGCCAGGUUGAAGCGCGGGUAAGACCGCGUGGAGGACCGAACCCACUUAGGUUGAAAAACUGAGGGGAUGAGCUGUGGGUAGGGGUGAAAGGCCAAUCAAACUCCGUGAUAGCUGGUUCUCCCCGAAAUGCAUUUAGGUGCAGCGUCACGUGUUUCUUGCCGGAGGUAGAGCUACUGGAUGGCUAAUGGGCCCUACAAGGUUACUGACGUCAGCCAAACUCCGAAUGCCGGUAAGUGAGAGCGUGGCAGUGAGACUGCGGGGGAUAAGCUCCGUAGUCGAGAGGGAAACAGCCCAGAUCACCAGCUAAGGCCCCUAAGCGUGUGCUAAGUGGGAAAGGAUGUGGAGUUGCUUAGACAACCAGGAGGUUGGCUUAGAAGCAGCCACCCUUUAAAGAGUGCGUAAUAGCUCACUGGUCAAGUGAUUCCGCGCCGACAAUGUAGCGGGGCUCAAGUACACCGCCGAAGCUGUGACAUUCACACAAUAACUAAGCCUUUGUGGUUCAGGUGUGUGGGUGGGUAGGGGAGCGUCGUGUGGCGGGUGAAGCAGCGGGGUGACCCAGUUGUGGACGCUACACGAGUGAGAAUGCAGGCAUGAGUAGCGAAAGACGGGUGAGAAACCCGUCCGCCGAAUGACCAAGGGUUCCAGGGCCAGGCUAAUCCGCCCUGGGUAAGUCGGGACCUAAGGCGAGGCCGACAGGCGUAGUCGAUGGACAACGGGUUGAUAUUCCCGUACCGGCGAAGGACCGUCCAUAAUGAACCUCGUGAUGCUAAGUUCGUGAAGUCAUGCCGGCCUCGGGUGGGUGUGGUGGAGCCUACGGUCCGAUCGGGUAGUAGUUAAGCGAUGGGGUGACGCAGGAAGGUAGCCUCCGCGUGGCGAUGGUUGUCCACGUUUAAGAGUGUAGGGCGAGUCGUAGGCAAAUCCGCGACUCUCAGUUUGAUCUGGGGCCUGAGACUUGAUGAUGACCGCAUUUGCGGGAAGAGGGUGAUCCUAUGCUGCCGAGAAAAAAGCCUCUAGCGAGGUCCGAGCCGCCCGUACCCUAAACCGACUCAGGUGGUCAGGUAGAGAAUACUAAGGCGAUCGAGUGAAUCAUGGUUAAGGAACUCGGCAAAAAUGCCCCCGUAACUUCGGGAGAAGGGGGGCCUGAGGCGUGAUCCCACUUGCUGGGUUAGCGUUUGAUGGCCGCAGAGACCAGGGAGAAGCGACUGUUUACUAAAAACACAGGUCCGUGCGAAGUCGCAAGACGAUGUAUACGGACUGACGCCUGCCCGGUGCUGGAACGUUAAGGGGACCGGUUAACCUCACGGUGAAGCUGAGAACUUAAGCGCCAGUAAACGGCGGUGGUAACUAUAACCAUCCUAAGGUAGCGAAAUUCCUUGUCGGGUAAGUUCCGACCUGCACGAAUGGCGUAACGACUUCUCCGCUGUCUCAACCAUGAACUCGGCGAAAUUGCACUACGAGUAAAGAUGCUCGUUACGCGCAGCAGGACGGAAAGACCCCGGGACCUUUACUAUAGCUUGGUAUUGGUGUUCGGUACGGCUUGUGUAGGAUAGGUGGGAGACUGUGAAGCUGGCACGCUAGUGUUGGUGGAGUCAACGUUGAAAUACCACUCUGGUCGUUCUGGAUGUCUAACCUCGGUCCGUGAUCCGGAUCAGGGACAGUGCCUGGUGGGUAGUUUAACUGGGGCGGUUGCCUCCUAAAGAGUAACGGAGGCGCCCAAAGGUUCCCUCAGCCUGGUUGGCAAUCAGGUGUCGAGUGUAAGUGCACAAGGGAGCUUGACUGUGAGAGAGACAUCUCGAGCAGGGACGAAAGUCGGGACUAGUGAUCCGGCCGUGGAUUGUGGAAUCGCGGUCGCUCAACGGAUAAAAAGGUACCCCGGGGAUAACAGGCUGAUCUUGCCCAAGAGUCCAUAUCGACGGCAUGGUUUGGCACCUCGAUGUCGGCUCGUCGCAUCCUGGGGCUGGAGUAGGUCCCAAGGGUUGGGCUGUUCGCCCAUUAAAGCGGUACGCGAGCUGGGUUUAGAACGUCGUGAGACAGUUCGGUCCCUAUCCGCUGCGCGCGCAGGAAACUUGAGAAGGGCUGUCCCUAGUACGAGAGGACCGGGACGGACGAACCUCUGGUGUGCCAGUUGUUCUGCCAAGGGCAUGGCUGGUUGGCUACGUUCGGAAGGGAUAACCGCUGAAGGCAUCUAAGCGGGAAGCUCGCUUCAAGAUGAGGUUUCCAUGGGGUUUACCCUGUGAGGCUCCCAGCUAGACUACUGUUGA